GACGAACGCUGGCGGCGUGCCUAAUACAUGCAAGUCGAGCGAAUCUUUUGGGAGCUUGCUCCCUUAAGGUUAGCGGCGGACGGGUGAGUAACACGUGGGUAACCUGCCUGUAAGACUGGGAUAACUUCGGGAAACCGGAGCUAAUACCGGAUAGUUUCUUUCUCGCAUGAGAGAAGAUGGAAAGAUGGUGUAAGCUAUCACUUACAGAUGGACCCGCGGCGCAUUAGCUAGUUGGUGAGGUAAUGGCUCACCAAGGCGACGAUGCGUAGCCGACCUGAGAGGUGAUCGGCCACACUGGGACUGAGACACGGCCCAGACUCCUACGGGAGGCAG
rnacentral:rRNA from 1 species